CAGUGGGACGGGUCACUUUGCUCUCGAAUCAAACACUACAGAAGAAAAUUCAGAGAGACGCGAAGUAUUUUCCGGAGUAGUUGAGUUCUCCGAGCAGCUGGUUUUUGCGCUGUUCGUGCAGGACCGGGUCCAGAGGUUUCCCACCGGGCAGAAACGCUGCUCCAAACAGCUGCUGGUACUGAUCCAACACUUGAGCGGCCACACUCGCUAUCUGAGACUGGUAUUCCUGUACUGCCUGAUAAUACAGGCAGCUGCGGCGUCAGAUGCUCAGUUGGUGGAGCGGCUGUGUGUUCCUCGCCUCUCUCCGUCUGCUGCGGAGCCACGGGGGCGUCAGAGAGGGGCAGAUGAGCAAAGGAGAUGAUUCACCGCGCCGCAACGAGGCCGGCAAUCUGCUGCUAUUACAGCUAAUUGGUUUGGGAAGCGUCUCUCAGCCACAGAUCCGGAUUUAAUUAGGGGGGAAUAACGAAAACGAGCCCCAGUGCAGCACGGAAGGGGGAAGAGAUGGGAUCUGCUCCAAACGAUCUUAACCCCUGAACUCUAUCAGGUCUCUGGGUAAAAAAUGUAUGCUUUGUGUGAAUAACAUUUAAAGAAGCGCUGAUGGCUAUGAAGUCACUUUUCAUAGCUCAUCACUAAUUUUCUUUGUUUAAAAAAAAAAUUAAAAUAAAAUAAUUAUUUCAGAAAAAACUUCAUUUUAAGUAAAAUAUUAAAUAAAAUAAAACAAAAUAAAUUAAUAAACAUUUUAUUUAAGCUUGCUGCCAAGAAAACAUCACUCAUUUUCAUUUAGUUUGACCUGAUGUACCAAAAUAACUACUACUGAACUAAAAACUACAUGGACAAAUAAAAUAAAUAAAAUAAAAUAAAAUAACAUUUUAUUUAAGCUUGUUAGUAACU